UACGGAGGGUGCAAGCGUUAAUCGGAAUUACUGGGCGUAAAGCGUGCGUAGGUGGUUCGUUAAGUCCGUUGUGAAAGCCCCGAGCUCAACUUGGGAAUUGCAAUGGAUACUGGCAGGCUGGAGUAUGGUAGAGGAAGGUGGAAUUCCCGGUGUAGCAGUGAAAUGCGUAGAGAUCGGGAGGAACACCAGUGGCGAAGGCGGCCUUCUGGACCAAUACUGACGCUCAUGCACGAAAGCGUGGGGAGCAAACAGG
rnacentral:rRNA from 1 species